CUCCAAGGCCACCCUGGCCCGCCCUCCCCGCCGCUCCGCCCUUCCCACGGCUCAGCCGCGUCUCCGCCCGCCCCCUCCCUGCGGGACCCGGAGUCUCUGCUUUCUCGCCGACUCGUUCUUUCGUCGCGUGAGGGCGCUCGCGGGGCGUCGGACGGAGCGGAGCUGGGCUGGCCGCCGGGCGCAGACGCGGGGCUGCGGGGACGCGCUUCCCCAGGACCCGCCCUUGGGCAGCGGCCUCAAGACCUCGGGGCGCCGGGGUCGGUGGGGGGGGGGGCCCUCGGGAGGUGCAGGCGGCCCCGCCGCUCUUCGGUGUCCCCCGGGCCCUCGCGGAGGGACUUCCUGGCGAAGCAGCCGGUUUCCCAGACCCCCGGAAGCUGCGCUGAGAGCGGCCCCUUGCAGCUUGGCGCGCGCAGUCACGGCCCUGGGACAUGGACUCCUAACCCUGCCCUCGCCACGUGCCCAGGGUCAGGACGUCCUUCCUGGGGUGGUCACGGGGGUGGCCACCAGCCUCCCGGCGGCAGCGCCCAGCCCCGCCAGCCAGGUCCUCCAGCUCCUCUCCCCGUGCACUCGGCUCCCUUCAGCCCUGCCUGGCCGGAUUGGGGAGGGGGGUGUCUCAGGAUGCUGGGGCCUCACUCAGAAAAGGAAGAUCCGGGUCGCACGCACCCAGGGAGGUGGCCAGGCAUCGGAGCGACUUAGGCAAGGUAGGCACUGAUGUGGAGAACAAAGGCUAAAGAAGAAAAUUAAACUUCCUUAUAACUUCGAGCCAUUGACAAGUACUUGGGACUGGCAGAGUGACCUCCCUCUGGGAGCUUAGAUGCCUCUAUGUUAAUUCUUUGCUGGGGUAAAAGGCAACCUUAGUUUGACAUUAGCCCAACCUCCAGGAUCCUGUAAAAACCCCUUGGAAACUUCCUUUAUCUCUAACACACACACACACACACACACACACACACACCUGCCAAAGGUAUAGGUUAGCCGUCUUCCUCCAAGCAUAUGGCCCCUGGUAUACAUCUGAAGGGUCUCCCGAGUAAGGUUUUACUAGACAGUAAAUGACCUUUUCCUAACAGCAGCAAGCCCCUCAAGGUCCUGAAACCUUGCUUCCAAAUCCGUAGAGACUACCCUGUCCCUGACCCCCUCCCAACUUGAAAGUGUAUGAUCAGUCACCCCUCACAGCCCCAGUGCAGCUCUUCCUGCCCACAGGUCCUGUCUCCGUGCUUUAAAAAAAACUACCUUUUUUGCACCGAAGACACCUCAAGAAUUCUUCCUUGACCCCAACAUUUUCUUUUUUUUUUUUUUUAAUGUUUUCUUUAUUUUUGAGAGCGCGCAUGAGUGGAGGAGGGGCAGAGAGAAGGGGACAGAGGAUCUGAAGCUGGCUCUGCGCUGACAGCAGGGGGCCCAAUGUGGGGCUUGAACUCACGACCCACGAGAUCAUGACCUGAGCCGAAGUCAGACACUCAACAACUGAGCCACCCAGGCGACCCCCCGACAGUUUCGCAUCAGGAACGUCUGAGCCUGUUUACCCAUCUCUACAAUGGGGCUGCCAGCGUAGACUUCUUGAGGAGACCAGCAGAGCCCCAGGAAGCGCCUGCCCGCAGCGCACUCCGUAGAUUCCAGUGGCCCAUAGAAGAUAGGCGGCAAACACGUCCUGCUUCUCAGCUCAGGCUCUUCUGAGAGCUUCAGGUACUUCAUCUCAGCGUCCCGAGAGGCGGACCCUUCACCCCCACUGUACAGAUAGAAAAGACACCUUUCAGGAACUGGGCGACGGCCAUGCAGCCACCAGCCCCGCGGGGACCCGGGACUGCAGCCCAGGCUUCCCAGAGCCCAGGCAUGUGGGCCACCACUGCUCCCCUGCCCGGCGGCCUCCAGAAGCAAGACUGACCCGGGGGCCCCACGAGGGAGAGGUGCCGCUAUUCCCUUGAGGGACAGAACAGGAAGGAGGAAGAAGACUGCUCCCCAGCCUGCAAGGUCUCCCCAGGUGAAGAAGGGUGAGAUCUUUCCGGACAGGUCCUUCUGGGCUCUCGACUGGGGCCCACAACCAAAGGGGAGGGACGGGAAGCAGGUGGACAGAAAUGGAGCACUUCAUUGGAGUGCUCCCAAUGGAGACUGGGAAAGAGGCUCCCAGCCCCAGCCGGAUGCCCGCAAGGGUGAUGUGGACCCAGGUGGGGCAGGCACACGAUGGAUCACCGCCUCUGGGGUGUGGGGGGAGUGGGGGAGCCACUUGAGAUGCCUCAUUCUCCCCUGUGGAAGAGAGGAAACUGGAAACCGGUGGGAGAGGCCAGGGGAGAAGCUUUCUUCGGAGAGAAAAAAGGCCCCUAGGGUUCACUUCAGCUUCAGGUGCUCCCGGUUCUGUCCCCCACCCCACCCCCAGCUCUGAUGUUCUCAUCAGCCUCCUCCCCAGCACCAAGUGCCUUCUGGGUGCAGGCCUGGUGGGGGCCUGAGGCUCAGAGUCCGGUCUGGGCUGUGUCCCCUGCCAAUGAUCAGACCACCACAGUGUGUGUUAGUGGGUCACGCAGGCCCCACCCCAGGCCAGGAUCCGGAUCCAGCAGGCUGGGCGCGGACCAGUGGGUCUGCAUUCCUGACAGGCACCCAGCCGAGCACCUAGGCCGGGAUUUUCAGGUCCUGGGUGUAGUCCCUCCUCUCCCACACACUGUCCUCUGUCCCCAGAGAGUCACUGGUCUAGAGCAGGGUUCUGCCUGUUUUUGGGUGCAGCUAAGCUCAUUUACAUACAGAUGGUCUGUGGCUGCUCGGGUGCCAUAGGGGUCGAGCUUCUGCUGCAGCCGUGUGACCAGCAAAGCCAAAGUCAUGCAGGACCUGCUCCUCAGUCACCUUCUCAGGGCCAGGCGCUGUUCUGUGUCCCCACUGGCCUAGAACUCACCCAGGGAUGUAAGGCCAGUGAUCACUGUCCUCGCUGGCCAGCAAGGGGCCUAGGGCCAGAAGGGGCUGCUUGUCACCCAGCCACACAGCUAGUAAGCCACCGGGUCCUUGUCCCUCACCUCUACACGACUGACACGACACAUUUGUGGGGGAGACGGCAUUCGGGCUGGACCCUUUAGGAUGGGAAAUGCAGGGGCAGGUAGGGAGGGCUUCAGAACUGACCAUUCAGGAGAGAUAACACAGGUGAGUUCAGGGAUGAGACAGGUCAUUACAUUUGGCUAAUGCAUGAAGCCCUGGUGGCGGAGGGAAAUGGCAGCUUUCUGGUGUGCCGUGCCCGGGUGGCUCAGUCAGUUGAGCCUUCGUGGUUCAUGAGUUCAAGCCCCGCGUUGGGUUCUGCACUGACAGUGCGGAGCCUGCUUGGGAUUCAUUCUCUCUCUCUCUCUCUCUCUCUCUCUCUCUCUCUCUCUCUCUCCCCAAAACAAAUAAAUAAGCUUUUAGAAAAAAAAUAAAAGAAAGUGAGCCUGCUAGAAACCUUCCCAGGGAGCCUGGCUGGAAAGAGGUGUGAGAAAGUUUCUCACAUGUUCCUCCAAAAUCUCAGCCUGCCCUGAAAGCCACCUUCUGGGGCAGGGCAGGGGCAGGUGCUGCCAUGCCCAGUGGCCCUGGAGGCCUCAGUGGCCGUGCCUUCCUCUGUAUCCUUCCUUCAUGCUCUCAACAUUCGGGGAAGCCAGGUUCUCAUUUGCACUGCAUUUCCAGGAGGAAAUGGAGGAAAGAAUUUAAUUCCUAUCUAUUACAUGCAAAGAAACCAAUGCAGAAAAAGCAAAUUGUUUCCCCCCAGGUUCAAAAGUUAAAAGGUAGAAGCAGAAAAUUCAACAAGAAAAAAUUUCAGAUAUAGACACUCCCCUCAAAAAAAAACCACCAAAAACCAAAACAAACAACAACAACAACAACAACAACAACAAAAAAAAAAAAAAAACUUGCUAUAAUUGUAUUGGAAGCUCCAUAUCGCUGGGAACUUGUCUCUGUCAUCUUUUUAUGAUUUGCUACUUUACGUUUAUUGGGCACCUGCUGUGUGUGCCUGGCCCUUUGUGGGAUGCUUUCACAUGUCUUCAUUUGUCCUCACAAUGAAGGGAAGGGGUGAGGGAAACUGAGACCCAGAGAAGGAAAGGGAUUGAGUGUCGAGAGACUACUACCACUCCCAGUGGCUUGUCUGUUGGACCCCAAGUGAAAACUGCUCUCUUAGCUCAGCAUACAUGCCCCCAAACUAGGCCCCUGGGGCAAGAGGAGCUUAGAAGGCAAUCAUGAAAACUGAGUCAAUUAACAUAGGGUCAGAAGGUGCAAAGUUGCUUUGGCAAAGGCAGCACAGACUUUCAGUGAGCACACGCUACUAAAGAUGUCCACAACUGGCUAUAUUUGGCAUUGGUAGAAACCAUAAACUGAACAGGAAAUGGCAAUUUGAUAAGCAUCAUAAGGAGAGGAAUGACCCUGGGACCUGGGUUAGGGCUAGGUGGCCCCUUUGACCUACUGGAGCCCCAUGGGUCAGCCUGGUAUUCGUAGCGAAAGGAGAAAUUAGAUUCUAGGGGCCUGGGAAGGCAUUAUGGCCUGUUGUGGUGAUGAGGAUGUUAGUUCCUCACACCCCUGCCCAUCCCUCACAUCUCUGUAGAACAAUAAACAGUUUCAUUUUUCA